rnacentral:rRNA from 1 species
GCACUAGGUAUAGGGAGUAUCGACCCUCUCUGUGCGAGAAGCUAACGCUUUAAGUAUCCCGCCUGGGGAGUACGGUCGCAAGGCUAAAACUCAAAGGAAAUUGACGGGGGCCCGCACAAGCAGCGGAGAGUGUGGUUUAAUUCGAUGCUACACGAAGAACCUUACCAAGAUUUGACAUGCAUGUAGUAGUGAACUGAAAGGGGAACGACCUGUUAAGUCAGGGAACUUGCACAGGUGCAUGCAUGGCUGUCGUCAGCUCGUGCCGUGAGGUGUUUGGUUAAGUCCUGCAACGAGCGCAACCCUUGUUGCUAGUUAAAUUUUCUAGCGAGACUGCCCCGCGAAACGGGGAGGAAGGUGGGGAUGACGUCAAGUCAGCAUGGCCUUUAUAUCUUGGGCUACACACACGCUCAAUGGCAGAACAA